UAGGAUAGAGGCCUACCAUGGUGGUAACGGGUAACGGGGUGUUAGGGCACGACACCGGAGAGGGAGCCUGAGAAACGGCUACCACAUCCAAGGAUGGCAGCAGGCGCGCAAAUUACCCAAUUCCGACACGGGGAGGUAGUGACAAUAAAUAACAAUACGGGGUUCUUUCGGAUCUCGUAAUUGGAAUGAGUACAAUUUAAAUCUCUUAACGAGGAACAAUUGGAGGGCAAGUCUGGUGCCAGCAGCCGCGGUAAUUCCAGCUCCAAUAGCGUAUAUUAAAGUUGUUGCAGUUAAAAAGCUCGUAGUUGAAUUUCGGGGUUAGUAGGUUGGUCAUGCCUCUGGUAUGUACUGGUCUCACUGAUUCCUCCUUCCUUAUGAACCGUAAUGCCAUUAAUUUGGUGUUGCGGGGAAUUUGGACUGUUACUUUGAAAAAAUUAGAGUGUUUAAAGCAAGCUAACGCUUGAAUACAUUAGCAUGGGAUAAUGAAAUAGGACGUUCGAUCUUAUUUUGUUGGUUUCUAGGAUUGACGUAAUGAUUAAUAGGGAUAGUUGGGGGCAUUAGUAUUCAAUUGUCAGAGGUGAAAUUCUUGGAUUUAUUGAAGACUAACUACUGCGAAAGCAUUUGCCAAGGAUGUUUUCAUUAAUCAAGAACGAAAGUUAGGGGAUCGAAGACGAUCAGAUACCGUCGUAGUCUUAACCAUAAACUAUGCCGACUAGG
rnacentral:rRNA from 1 species